rnacentral:tRNA from 1 species
GCCUUCGUGGUGUAGUGGUCAACAUGCUCGACACAUAACCAAGAGAUCCUUGGUUCGAUUCCCGGCGAAGGCG